AUUGAACGCUGGCGGCAUGCCUUACACAUGCAAGUCGAACGGUAACGGGCCUUCGGGUGCCGCCGAGUGGCGAACGGGUGAGUAAUACAUCGGAACGUGCCCGAUCGUGGGGGGUAACGAGGCGAAAGCUUUGCUAAUACCGCAUACGAUCUACGGAUGAAAGCAGGGGACCGCAAGGCCUUGCGCGGACGGGGCGGCCGAUGGCAGAUUAGGUAGUUGGUGGGAUAAAAGCUUACCAAGCCGACGAUCUGUAGCUGGUCUGAGAGGAUGAUCAGCCACACUGGGACUGAGACACGGCCCAGACUCCUACGGGAGGCAGCAGUGGGGAAUUUUGGACAAUGGGCGCAAGCCUGAUCCAGCCAUGCCGCGUGCAGGAUGAAGGCCUUCGGGUUGUAAACUGCUUUUGUACGGAACGAAAAGCCUUCUUUUAAUACAGGAGGGUCAUGACGGUACCGUAAGAAUAAGCACCGGCUAACUACGUG
rnacentral:rRNA from 1 species